UUAUCUAUAUUUAGUGUAAUAAUGUAGCUUAUUUAUGAAUUUUAAGUGUAAAAAAUUAUUAAAUUAAUAUUUAUCUUUGAAAUGAAUUAUGUAAUGUGUUAUUUUUGAAAUUCAUUUUAUAAAUUAUAGAGUUUGGAGGGUACUAAUUUUUAUUAAAAGAUUUCAAAUAAAUUUAUUUUAGAGAAAGAAAGAUAGAAUUGAAAAAACAUAUAUAUAUUAUAAUAAAGACCUUUUAUUAACAAAUUUCGGAGUAGCUAGUGGUAAGCAUGCAUUAUUGAUUGGUGGAGGUCCAAGUUCGAGCCUUGACAAAGGCAAUAAAAUUUUUUCACCAAAAACGGGCCGGGAACGGUCCGUGGACAAACCCGGCCGGGUUUCCCGGUUAGCCCGGUCCGAUCGCCGGGCCGUUGACUAGUCAACGGUUCCGUAGCCCAAACGAUCUAAUUUAAGACUCGGCCCGGCCCAAUGGCCGGUUCACCGGUUUGACCGGUUCGACCGCCGGGCCGGGCCGGGUUUUAUAACUAUG
rnacentral:lncRNA from 1 species